AUGCACUAGAAAAUUGUUAUUCGACGAUUAUAAUUUUCAUUAUGUCUGUAGCAGUUCCCUAUCUAAACGUGACCCU